rnacentral:lncRNA from 1 species
AGUCCAUACUUGGUUGAUGUAUAGGGAGUUCAUUUCAGAUGUCAUGGUUUCAAGUCAUCUAUCAGAGUCUCUACUCAUGACAAUUUCUGAAUAGGUCAAAAAAAAUAUUAUUCACAAUAAUGUAUGGUGUAUCGUCAUUCUCAAUGACAAACCUAUAUUUGAGUGGUACAUUACACACUCAGAAUGACCUUCGAUGAAGAGGGUGUAUCAUAGUAGUGCCUCAUCAAUGAAUACAUCUAAUCGAGAAUCAACUUGUGGACACUCCAUAGGUU